rnacentral:rRNA from 1 species
CCUGACGGUAGUCGUAUGCUCGUCUCCGAGACUAAGCCAUGCAAGUCCAAGUACACGUCCUUGAACGACGGAAACUGCGAACGGCUCAUUAAAUCAGUUGCGAUCUACUCGGCGUUCCGCGCCGCCGGAUAACCGUAGUAAUUCUAGGGCUAAUACGUGCGAAGCGCCCGAAGCCGCGAGGCGACGGGCGUUCUCGCCGGAUGUAGGAACCGACCCGGGGACCGCCGGGGCAACCCGGCGCCCCGAGACGGGGCGAACCACGGUGAAAUGACGGAUCGUCGGCCCCGCGCCGGCGACUCGCCGAAUGAGUUUCUGACCUAUCAACUCGAGACGGCGGGGUAGAGGCCCGCCGCGGUAACGACGGGUAACGGGGAAUCAGGGUUCGAUUCCGGAGAGGGAGCCCGAGAAACGGCUACCACUUCCAA